AAGAGACAGCAGUCGCCGCGGUAAUACGUAGGGUGCAAGCGUUAAUCGGAAUUACUGGGCGUAAAGCGUGCGCAGGCGGUUAUAUAAGACAGAUGUGAAAUCCCCGGGCUCAACCUGGGAACUGCAUUUGUGACUGUAUAGCUAGAGUACGGCAGAGGGGGAUGGAAUUCCGCGUGUAGCAGUGAAAUGCGUAGAUAUGCGGAGGAACACCGAUGGCGAAGGCAAUCCCCUGGGCCUGUACUGACGCUCAUGCACGAAAGCGUGGGGAGCAAACAGGAUUAGAUACCCCGGUAGUCCCUGUCUCUUAUAA
rnacentral:rRNA from 1 species